CGGCUGGCGUGGCCGGUGGAGGGCGUGCUCUUCGACGUGGAGCACAACGGGUUCUGGCAUCCCGCCUGGCCGUC
rnacentral:tRNA from 2 species